CCUACGGGGGGCAGCAGUCGAGGAUCUUUACCAAUGCCCGAAAGGGUGAGUAUGCGACGCCGCGUGUAGGAUGAAGGCCUUCGGGUCGUAAACUACUGUCAGAAGUAAGGAAAAGCUGUGUGCUAAUACCACAUAGCCUUGACGUUAACUUCAGAGGAAGCCACAGCUAACUUCGUGCCAGCAGCCGCGGU
rnacentral:rRNA from 1 species